rnacentral:rRNA from 1 species
UAUGGUUUAUUAGAUCGUGCGUUCUACUUGGAUAACUGUGGUAAUUCUAGAGCUAAUACAUGCAACUGGCCCUAACUUUACGGAGGGGCGCUUUUAUUAGAUCAAAAUCAAUCAGGUUUCGGCCUGUUUUUGUGAUGACUCUGGAUAACUUUGUGCCGACCGCAUGGCCUUGCGCCGGCGGCGUAUCUUUCAAAUGUCUGCCCUAUCAACUUUCGAUGGUAGGUGACAUGCCUACCAUGGUUGUAACGGGUAACGGAGAAUCAGGGUUCGAUUCCGGAGAGGGAGCCUGAGAAACGGCUACCACA